AUUGAACGCUGGCGGCAGGCCUAACACAUGCAAGUCGAACGGUAACAGAAAGCAGCUUGCUGCUUUGCUGACGAGUGGCGGACGGGUGAGUAAUGUCUGGGAAACUGCCUGAUGGAGGGGGAUAACUACUGGAAACGGUAGCUAAUACCGCAUAACGUCGCAAGACCAAAGAGGGGGACCUUCGGGCCUCUUGCCAUCGGAUGUGCCCAGAUGGGAUUAGCUAGUAGGUGGGGUAAAGGCUCACCUAGGCGACGAUCCCUAGCUGGUCUGAGAGGAUGACCAGCCACACUGGAACUGAGACACGGUCCAGACUCCGACGGGAGGCAGCAGUGGGGAAUAUUGCACAAUGGGCGCAAGCCUGAUGCAGCCAUGCCGCGUGUGUGAAGAAGGCCUUCGGGUUGUAAAGUACUUUCAGCGGGGAGGAAGGGAGUAAAGUUAAUACCUUUGCUCAUUGACGUUACCCGCAGAAGAAGCACCGGCUAACUCCGG
rnacentral:rRNA from 1 species